AUAUAUAUAUAUAUAUCAUUUUGUAUAGUAUAGUAGUAUUGGAAGCUAGGGUAAUAGGGUUUCUGUAAUUCUUUUUGGAAUGUUGAUUUUCAAAGCUAUGGUGAAAUAUUAUACGCUUUCUAAUUAAAUCAAUGAGGCAGAGUUGAGA